CCUAGUGUACUAAUCUUUUCUUGAAAGGGGAGGGGGGGGGGUGUCCUCUCUUCACUCAGCAUUGGACAGCAGCUGAGCUGAGUGCUCCUCCUCGCCUCAAUCAUCCUUAAAACCUGCUGGAAACACACCGACACGCACUCAUUUACCUGCUGCUGAUAACCGGGACAAGAUGUUCUGCAGACGGGCAUUGCAGAGAGUCGGGCCGCUGGCACGGAGGGCUUUCAAACCCACAUCCAAUAAUGCAGCUCCAGUGCGACACAUGGCCUUUGGGGUCCCUGGUGGCUCCAGCAACAUGGCGUACUUUGUCCUGUGUGGAGGCGGCCUCACUGCUGCUGUCGUCUAUGCCUACAAGACAGUCAAUGGUGACGGUGUGGACAAACUCGCAAACAUGGACUCCACAGCAAAGGCUCCUUCGGCCGAGGUAGUGCCAGAAGUGGUGGCUCCUGCAGCUGAACUCGCCGAGGUAGUCGCCGCGGAGGUUGUUGCCGAGGUCGUGGCGGAGUCUGUCCCUGCUCCAGCAGUAGCGGAGCUCGCUGCCGAACCGGUCGCUGAGGCAGUGUCUGAAGAAGCGCCCGCCGCCGUGGCCUCUGAGGUGGUCGUCGUUGAGGCUGCAGCUGAGCCAGCAGUCACAGAAGAAGCCGCUGUAGUGGCAGACGCUGUCACAGAAGAAGCCGCUGUAGUGGCAGAGGCUGUCCCUGAAGUUGCGGCCGCAGAGGAGACUCCUGCAGUAGAGGCCCCUGCAGCAGAAGAAGCCCCCGCAGCGGAAGCCCCCGCAGUAGAGGCCCCAGCAGCAGAAGAAGCCCCUGCAGCAGAGAGCGCUGGUACGGCAGCAGUAGAUGAAGUUCCUCCUGCGCCCGCCGCUGAAGCAGAGACGGGCUCUGCAGCCCCAGAGGCAGAGGCUGCCCCUGCUGCAGAGGUGGCUGCAUAAAGCUGUGACGGUGCAAUAGUUGCCGAGAAAGUAGGGCUCAGAGUUAGUUGUGCUGUGUCCCACCUCUGUGACCCAGGAAAAAUGGACUCAUGGACCCCUAGUUUUCAUUUUUUUUUGCUUUUAAUACCAUAAGGGUUCAUCAGUCCAGUUUUCCAGUGCCUUCCUUCCUUUACCCAACCUUCAGACCCAAACCAGAACAUUUGUCAUCAGGCUGUUGAGAUUCAGUUUGGAAAAUUCAGUUUCUAUAGGAAUUUUUUUUAAAUAACUAGAGCAAAUGCAAAUCAUGGUUUGGCAGCUGUACAGUUAAUAAGAGUGUUGAUUUAGGUGGUAUAAGGGAUAUAACAGAGUUAUGUUCUGUGAGAUGUUGUUCUAAAGUGCCCUUAAAACAUGACGGCCUCGCAUUUUCCUCUAAAUGUCCGUACGGUGACUGAAUGUAGCCCAUUUGAUAAAUUGUUCAAGUUGUCUUGUGUCGUUCAAAAUCAUUUGCACUUGGUCUUCUGCUCGACAAAUACUUAUUUCCAGCUACAGCUCAUGUAUCUUUGCUUAGGCUAGGAUUCUCAUGCAAACGGUAGAGAGAUGGAACAAAUGGUCAGUGCGCCUCGUUUUGUUUUAACCGUCUCACAUUGUGAAGUAUGACCAAAAACCAGUUGGCUCUUUUUCCUGGCUGCAGCACCUGUCUAGUCUUCUUGAUAACUUUUGCUCAUCACCGCCUCCUAAUGCGUUUACUCCAUAAGGAGAUGUUCGGUUUUUUUUUUUUUCUCGCACAUUCAAACUUUUAUUUGCCAGCCAGUGUUUAACUCGCUUCUCCCGUUUCUUUACUCUUUAAAUGUGAAAUCUUUCAGGGAACACUACAGAAAAUUCCAUCACCUGUUUUUUGCAAGUUGUCAUUAAUACAGUCAAUAUUUCAAAGAAUAAAACAUCACUGGAUGAGAAUGAGGUGUCUCAAUAUUGCAUUUUUUUUAUAUUACUUUAUAUAUUAUGGUUGUGUGGCGAAUGUAUGACUCAAAACUAUAAUUAUUUUAUUUGCAUUUAACACUGUAGGUUGUAAAAUAACUGGUUCAGAUUAAGUAUAAGUUGUCCAGGGCUAAUUGGUGGCAAAUGUCUUGCUGCUAGCUUGUAGACAGUAAAUUGUAUUGUAGGUGUAGAAACACGCACUUCCUGUAGAAAUCCUUAAUUUCCUGAAGAAUCCCUGUGCUGUGUCCAUGCGCCUGUGCCGUGUCCAUGCUCCUGCUCCUGUGUAAAGUCACAAUGUUGUACAAAAGGCAGGGACGGGCAGAAAGCAGCUGCAGGCAGCGCUCUGUAAGAAGCAGUCAGAUGGAUGUGGAAGAUCCUGCUCAACAAGUUGAGGGGGAAAAAGACCUGCAGGCACUCAAGUUUUGUGAGAACUGUGCCUUUUUUCUUUUUAUAAAGGUUUUUGUAUUGAAA
rnacentral:lncRNA from 1 species